UGGCGGCAGGCCUAACACAUGCAAGUCGAGCGGAAACGAGUUAUCUGAACCUUCGGGGAACGAUAACGGCGUCGAGCGGCGGACGGGUGAGUAAUGCCUAGGAAAUUGCCCUGAUGUGGGGGAUAACCAUUGGAAACGAUGGCUAAUACCGCAUGAUGCCUACGGGCCAAAGAGGGGGACCUUCGGGCCUCUCGCGUCAGGAUAUGCCUAGGUGGGAUUAGCUAGUUGGUGAGGUAAGGGCUCACCAAGGCGACGAUCCCUAGCUGGUCUGAGAGGAUGAUCAGCCACACUGGAACUGAGACACGGUCCAGACUCCUACGGGAGGCAGCAGUGGGGAAUAUUGCACAAUGGGCGCAAGCCUGAUGCAGCCAUGCCGCGUGUGUGAAGAAGGCCUUCGGGUUGUAAAGCACUUUCAGUCGUGAGGAAGGCGGGUACGUUAAUAGCGUAUUCGUUUGACGUUAGCGACAGAAGAAGCACCGGCUAACUCCGUG
rnacentral:rRNA from 1 species